rnacentral:rRNA from 1 species
UCUUGGACAGCCUUCUGAAAGGAAGAUUAAUACAAGAUGGCAUCAUGAGUCCACAUGUUCACAUGAUUAAAGGUAUUCCGGUAGACGAUGGGGAUGCGUUCCAUUAGAUAGUAGGCGGGGUAACGGCCCACCUAGUCUUCGAUGGAUAGGGGUUCUGAGAGGAAGGUCCCCCACAUUGGAACUGAGACACGGUCCAAACUCCUACGGGAGGCAGCAGUGAGGAAUAUUGAUCAAUGGGCGAGAGCCUGAACCAGCCAAGUAGCGUGAAGGAUGACUGCCCUAUGGGUUGUAAACUUCUUUUAUAAAGGAAUAAAGUCGGGUAUGCAUACCCGUUUGCAUGUACUUUAUGAAUAAGGAUCGGCUAACUCAGUGCCAGCAGCCGCGGUAAUACGGAGGAUGCGAGCGUUAUCCGGAUUUAUUGGGUUUAAAGGGAGCGCAGACGGGUCGUUAAGUCAGCUGUGAAAGUUUGGGGCUCAACCUUAAAAUUGCAGUUGAUACUGGCGUCCUUGAGUGCGGUUGAGGUGUGCGGAAUUCGUGGUGUAGCGGUGAAAUGCUUAGAUAUCACGAAGAACUCCGAUUGCGAAGGCAGCACACUAAUCCGUAACUGACGUUCAUGUUCGAAAG